CAGUCGCCGCGGGAAUACGGAGGGUGCAAGCGUUAAUCGGAAUUACUGGGCGUAAAGCGCACGCAGGCGGUCUGACAAGUCAGAUGUGAAAUCCCCGGGCUUAACCUGGGAACUGCAUUUGAAACUGGCAAGCUAGAGUCUCGUAGAGGGGGGUAGAAUUCCAGGUGUAGCGGUGAAAUGCGUAGAGAUCUGGAGGAAUACCGGUGGCGAAGGCGGCCCCCUGGACAAAGACUGACGCUCAGGUGCGAAAGCGUGGGGAGCAAACAGGAUUAGAGACCCCAGUAGUCCCUGUCUCUUAUAA
rnacentral:rRNA from 1 species